UGCAGUCUAUUUACUGUCAGGACAUGUACUCACACACCUCCGACUGGAAACAACAUGUCAGGAGGUGAUCUAUAGGGGUGUUGAGAUUUGCACCUGUCCAAAGAGUCCUGACCUUUUGACCCAUUCUCUCUGUCUCUGUCUCUCUCUCUCUGAUUUCAUACUGUGGAACAUGAAAUGGCAGAGAAGUAUUACAUGCUGGCCUCAUGGGGGUCAAAUAAGAUGAGCACAGCUGUUGCUGGAUCAACUUGAGGAGUGUUUGUACAGCAGGAGGUGUGGUGGUGAGGGGGUUUAUGCCAGCCAAAAUCAUAUUGCUAACUCACCCUCUGCUGAUGUCUCCCUCCCAAACACGGGUCAUCUGUCUUUUCAGUGCUGAAAUGCAGAGCUCGCUUCAUUACAUCCCAAACAACAACAACGGACAAAACCGGCAAACAAACUGCAACUUCAGCAUGCAUCCCCAUGAGGUCUCCCUCCCUCCCUCAAUCUCCCCCAUUUCUGGUUCUCUCCCAUUCUGAGCCAUUUCAAACACAAGAGGUUGCAAAAUGGUCUGCAUCGAGGAUGACUGGACAGAAACGCAACGUCCCACCACCACCACCACCCCAAUCCAAGGUCUCCUAUUAGAAUGUCAGGUCAGCAUGAGCAGUGCUGCAGCUGUAGCAGCAGUUAGCAACAGCACAGCAUAGCCGCGUGGAAUCAUGUUUGUCACCACGGCUGCACCUUUGUUGUGUGGAAUGUGUGUGUCAGUGUGGGAACAAGUGGUGCGUAUGAUUGUGUUGUUCUUUGUUCAUGGCGGACAAAAAGAGAAGUGUCACAUCGCCGAGCGAUGGUGUGUUUGUCAUUAGCUCUAUGCGUGCUCAUUUCAAAAACCAGUUGUAGAAUGUCCACUGUCUAGAAGUCUCUCUCUCUCUCUCUCUCUCUCUCUCU